GACGAACGCUGGCGGCGUGCCUAAUACAUGCAAGUAGGACGCAGUUGCGAACGGGUGAGUAACGCGUAGGUAACUACCUAUUAGAGGGGGAUAACUAUUGGAAACGAUAGCUAAUACCGCAUACUAGUAGAUGGACCUGCGUUGUAUUAGCUAGUAGGUAGGGUAAUGGCCUACCUAGGCAACGAUACAUAGCCGAGCUUGGAGGGUGAAGGGCCAAACUGGGAAUGGGACACGGCCCAGAAUCCUGCGGGGGGCAGCAGUAGGGAAACUUCGGCAAUGGGGGGAAACCUGACCGAGCAACGGCGCGGGGGUGAAGAAGGUUUUCGGGUCGGAAAGCUCUGUUGUUAAGGAAGCGGUACUUAACCAGAAAGGGACGGCUAACUACGUGCCAGCCGCCGCGGUAAUAC
rnacentral:rRNA from 1 species